GGGGAAGCCGUAGCACAGAGAUCAACGCGCCCUCCUAUUCAGAGGGAGGACGCCGGUUCGAACCCAGCCUGCACCCCC
rnacentral:tRNA from 1 species